CAGAAAAGGUGGAGCCUCGAAGG
rnacentral:piRNA from 1 species